rnacentral:rRNA from 1 species
GACGAACGCUGGCGGCGUGCUUAACACAUGCAAGUCGAACGAUGAACCAGGGCUUGCCCUGGGGAUUAGUGGCGAACGGGUGAGUAACACGUGGGCAACCUGCCCCAGACACCGGGAUAAGCCUCGGAAACGGGGUCUAAUACCGGAUAUGACCUGUCCCUGCAUGGGGGUGGGGGGAAAGGGUUUCUGGCCGAAGAUGGGCUCGCGGUCUAUCAGCUUGUUGGUGGGGUAAUGGCUCACCAAGGCAUUGACGGAUAGCCGGCCUGAGAGGGCGACCGGUCACACUGGGACUGAGACACGGCCCAGACUCCUACGGGAGGCAGCAGUGGGGAAUAUUGCGCAAUGGGCGAAAGCCUGACGCAGCGACGCCGCGUGAGGGAUGACGGCCUUCGGGUUGUAAACCUCUUUCGGUACCGACGAAGCGUAAGUGACGGUAGGUACAGAAGAAGCUCCGGCUAACUACGUGCCAGCCGCCGCCGUAACAC